rnacentral:rRNA from 1 species
UGCGGAUGGAGCUGAAAUCAGUCGAAGAUACCAGCUGGCUGCAACUGUUUAUUAAAAACACAGCACUGUGCAAACACGAAAGUGGACGUAUACGGUGUGACGCCUGCCCGGUGCCGGAAGGUUAAUUGAUGGGGUUAUCCUCAGGGAGAAGCUCUUGAUCGAAGCCCCGGUAAACGGCGGCCGUAACUAUAACGGUCCUAAGGUAGCGAAAUUCCUUGUCGGGUAAGUUCCGACCUGCACGAAUGGCGUAAUGAUGGCCAGGCUGUCUCCACCCGAGACUCAGUGAAAUUGAACUCGCUGUGAAGAUGCAGUGUACCCGCGGCAAGACGGAAAGACCCCGUGAACCUUUACUAUAGCUUGACACUGAACAUUGAGCCUUGAUGUGUAGGAUAGGUGGGAGGCUUUGAAGCGAGGACGCCAGUUCUUGUGGAGCCAACCUUGAAAUACCACCCUUUAAUGUUUGAUGUUCUAACGUAGACCCGUAAUCCGGGUUGCGGACAGUGUCUGGUGGGUAGUUUGACUGGGGCGGUCUCCUCCCAAAGAGUAACGGAGGAGCACGAAGGUUAGCUAAUCCUGGUCGGACAUCAGGAGGUUAGUGCAAUGGCAUAAGCUAGCUUGACUGCGAGAGUGACGGCUCGAGCAGGUGCGAAAGCAGGUCAUAGUGAUCCGGUGGUUCUGAAUGGAAGGGCCAUCGCUCAACGGAUAAAAGGUACUCCGGGGAUAACAGGCUGAUACCGCCCAAGAGUUCAUAUCGACGGCGGUGUUUGGCACCUCGAUGUCGGCUCAUCACAUCCUGGGGCUGAAGUAGGUCCCAAGGGUAUGGCUGUUCGCCAUUUAAAGUGGUACGCGAGCUGGGUUUAGAACGUCGUGAGACAGUUCGGUCCCUAUCUGCCGUGGGCGCUGGAGAAUUGAGGGGGGCUGCUCCUAGUACGAGAGGACCGGAGUGGACGCAUCACUGGUGUUCGGGUUGUCAUGCCAAUGGCAUUGCCCGGUAGCUAAAUGCGGAAAAGAUAAGUGCUGAAAGCAUCUAAGCACGAAACUUGCCCCGAGAUGAGUUCUCCCUGACUCCUUGAGAGUCCUGAAGGAACGUUGAAGACUACGACGUUGAUAGGCUGGGUGUGUAAGCGUAGCGAUACGUUGAGCUAACCAGUACUAAUGAACCGUGAGGCUUAACCUUACAACGCCGAAGAUGUUUUGGCGUGAGAGAC